AGCGGUUUCUUUCUUCGUUCCCCGUGAUGUCGCCAGCCCCAUCGCCCCCGUAUCCCUCCCGCCGUCGCCGCCCUACCGGCCCUUCCCGGCUCCCUCCGCAUCCCUCCCAGGCCGGAGACCGCCGAGCCUCUUAACUUUCACCCCUCACCAUCGCCGCCGUCGCGCUGCCUCCGUCCGGCACGAAAUCCAGCCCGCCGUUCUACAGCCGCCCCGCAUGAGCACCGAGAAAGCCUACACGCCCGCGCCAGCUGCCUCCUACACAUCUCCUGCUCCACAUCUUCCCUGUAGGCUGCAGUUCAAUGACGCGGUGCCGCACCACCUGAUGGGAUAGCGUAAAGUUGGUUCAUACUAUAUCUUCUCAUUACAUCAAUCAGUAUUCUAUAUUGCAGUCACAAAAAGAGUCAAUCUGUAUUGAGUUAGAAGGGACUCAUGAGUCAUGAUGAAGAAGAGUAUUAGCAACAAGAAGAUAGCGCAAGGCACCAGGGGUAGCAUUCCAAACCCAAGAUACAAAAAUGAAGAGGGGGAGCACGUGGGCGUGCGCACACACACACCGGGAUGCUAAGCCACACCAUCACACCACGCCCAGUUAUCCAGUUUGACCUUAACACUGCGGCAAAAGCUACUAGAGUGAGUACAUUUUCUCCUUUCAGAUAACCCUGAAGAAAUUAUUACUGGGACACUUGAUUCGGAGUCUGCACAUUCUACCUGAUGACAUGCAUUAGUGAAAACAAUAUGCUCGAUUGUUUAAUUGGUAAUGCUACUCUAGCAGAAAACUCCAAUUAUUAUUUUAUUCGAAAAUGCUAAUUUAACUUGUGAUGUUGUCAUAUUCGAAUACAGUCUGGACAUUUUUAUUCGAAAAUGCUGAUAUGUUUGAUAUAUUAGAAUUAGCAUAUGAAUGCAGUUUUUUCAUUUGUCCCAAAAUUUCAGAGAUGAUCCGUGAAACUUGUCUAAAACUCUCAAUUAGUUAAUUAUUUUGAACUCUGCAAUCUCUUGACAUUUAUGAACUUGUCUAAUGACUAAAUGUAGCCAGUUCUAGGAUAUGGUUAUGUCUCAAUUUAUCUGAAUUCUAAACAUGCAUGGUAGGAGUGUUUAUUGCUUAAAUAUGAUAUACCAUACAUGCUUUCUUGCUUCCCCAUAUUCAGUGGUAUUAGUUUUUGCAGGAUUUAGCUGCUUCUUGUGGUUCAAGAGUUGUUUUGUCUACAAUUGCUACAGCCCAUGGAAAGAUAGUCUAUGUACUGUUAUGUUUUAUUGACCUUAGAGGAAUAGUACAUCUAAGGGGAUCACCUAAGUGGAGAUGCAGAUGCACAAUCCUCACGUUUGCCCCAUUUGUUGGUCAAUCAUUACCAUUUUUUCCCUUUCAGUUGAUACAACACUUUAAUAAAGCUUUGUGUCACCAAGCUAUCGGACUGGUUCCAGCUAUAAGCAAAGAAUGGGAGAUAUGUAAGACCAUUAGCAUUCCUACUUCUCCUUGCCUAUAUCUAUGGCUGUAAAUAAGUUCUUUCUUGCACUUGAUAGCUAUAAAUAAGCUAGAUGGAUGGAAUAUUAGUUUCCUUUGUGUUUAAUUGAAUAUUGGAAUGAGACAACACUUGCAGGAUAAAAUAAUAAAAUUGAAAUUGAAAGCUUGCUUCUACUGAAAAAUAUAUGCUUUACUAAUUGUGUAAUGCACACCAAUUUCAGGGUAAGUUCUAGCCUGAAUUGAUAUAUCCACUCUUCACAAAAUACUGGGAAAUCCAAGUAUUUUAACAGCAAAGCUGGUUUCUCAGAUUGCUACGCGAAGUGUCCUUUUUUUUUCUUUUAAUACAUGCAUAUUCGCCGGUGGCUCAAUUCAAGAACAAUGCUCUACAACACUAUCGUGGUUGCUGGUGGACAAGUGGAGAAAGAGCUUACUCUGAAGCCGCAUUUUUUUCAUCGUUACGAAAUCUUCAGAAAAAGCAUCUCAUUAGAUAUCAUGUUUUUACAUGGUUACAAUGGAUGCAAAUUCAAUCAGGUGAUCAUGUAUGCACGAGUCGAGACAACGACGUCUAUAUGGUUGGUUCAUGUUGUUACAUAGCAUUAUUACAUAGAGAUCAAGAGCAGUUUCUUACUGGGGCAAUACAAAUAGGAAGAAAGGAAUAAAAUGUGUUUUGCCUCCAGUUUGGCCAUCGCCGGCGCUACAACAAUUGUUGUUUGGUAUUUUCACGCUUCUGGAGCAUCUAAAUCACGUGGAAUGUUUAUUUCUCUGCAGCAGUGAUAUGAAAAAAAAUGCUAGCAUUCACAGGUUGCACUAGAUCUCUCUGUCUCACCAAAAAUUAUGCUCUUUGUGCCAUGAAAACACUAUGUUCCCUGUACUAGAUCUGCUUUAAGCAUACUACCUAUAAAGUUAUCAGUGUGGUGAUGUAAUUAGUGGUUGCUUAGACAGAGAAAGAGAUAUUUACAUCUUUACUGUUUUUUACUGCACAUCUUUACUGUUUUACAUCAGAGUAAAUGGUUAUGUACUUGUCCUUACGAAGCAUGGACUAAUGCCCCUCCAGUUAUGCAUUUACACGACUGAUGCAUUAGUUAGUUUUUUACUACUUUGGUUAGGUUUUUAAUAAGUUUUGUUUAUAGCCAAAUGGUGUGGCUGACGAAUUAGUUAACUGGUACUUGUCCAGGAUAAUGGCCAGUGAUCUGUAUAUCCAUGGAAAAGCGAGGUUUUAUAAGUAUAUUUGCGGUUGGCCAGAUGCAGCAACUAACAUGUUUGGUUUUUUGGAGCUUCAGUUAAUGGUUUGCUAUAUGAAAUGAGAACACAUUCCUUGCUUAUCACACUUAAAAAGAUUUUCAGUCGCUUGUACUCUUGUGAAAUGCUAGGCCAUUAUAUAAUGCAAAAAAAAAAAAAAAAUGCACCGCUUCAUACAAUCUGCGAGACUGCAAUUUUUUGCUUGAAUGUAUGUGCCACAGCCAACACAUGCUGCUAUAGAAGACUCGAAGAAAGCUUAUAAGAAGCGGUCAAGCAGAGUAUAGUGGGAGCCUCCUAAAAGAGACUUGAGCAAAAUUAUUCCAUCAUUUGUAAAUAAUCUAUCAAGUGUGAUGAGCAGUAGUAGCAAGAUGAGUAACAAUGCUAAGAUAUAUUUUGUUUAGUUGACUCACUUGAAUUUUUUGUGACAUAAUUGGUAUUGUAAUUCAAUACUAGGAUUUAACAGUUUGAACAAUGUUCAUUGUC